rnacentral:rRNA from 1 species
UGGGGAAUUUUGCACAAUGGGGGGAACCUUGAUGCAGCGACGCCGCGUGAGGGAUGGAGGCCUUCGGGUUGUGAACCUCUUUCGCUCGUGUGCAAGCCGCUAUUUGGGUAGUGGUGAGUGUAGCGGGUAAAGAAGCGCCGGCUAACUACGUGCCAGCAGCCGCGGUAAUACGUAGGGCGCGAGCGUUGUCCGGAUUUAUUGGGCGUAAAGGGCUUGUAGGCGGUUUGUCGCGCCUGUCGUGUAAUCCUCUGGCUUAACUGGGGGUGUGCGGUGGAUACGGGCAAGCUUGAGUGCGGUAGGGGAGUUUGGAAUUCCUGGUGUAGCGGUGGAAUGCGCAGAUAUCAGGGGGAACACCGGUGGCGAAGGCGGGUCUCUGGGCCGUUACUGACGCUGAGGAGCGAAAGCGUGGGGAGCGAACAGG